rnacentral:pre_miRNA from 3 species
AAUGCUUUGCUGAAGCUGGUAAAAUGGAACCAAAUCAACUGUUCAAUGGAUUUGGUCCCCUUCAACCAGCUGUAGCUGCGCAUUGAU